GUCCUGGCCCUAAACGAUGAAUGCUUGGUGUGGCGGGUAUCGAUCCCUGCCGUGCCGAAGCUAACGCAUUAAGCAUUCCGCCUGGGGAGUACGGUCGCAAGGCUGAAACUCAAAUGAAUUGACGGGGGCCCGCACAAGCGGUGGAGCAUGUGGUUUAAUUCGACGCAACGCGAAGAACCUUACCCAGGCUCGAACGGUAGAUGACAUCUUACGAAAGUAGGCUCCCGCAAGGGCAUCUAUCGAGGUGCUGCAUGGCUGUCGU
rnacentral:rRNA from 1 species